rnacentral:lncRNA from 1 species
GAGUUUAUUUUUCUACUUCACGGGAACGACUCAUCAGUCUUCCGCACAAAGAAAUGCGCACUCUGACAGGUUACGGGCCCAGAGAUGAAGAGAUAAGGCGUUCCAGAUCGACUGAUAAGAUGUUUCUGGAAGACGGACUACAGAAAUCCAUUUGCCGUGAGUAGUUUUUUAGCCUUCUAUCUGCAGAAGAAGCUUCUCGCUGACUUCCUGAAAGUUCCCUUACUACUGACCAUGGCGUUAGUCAAUCCUGCUUCGGCCUUACCAAUUGAAAGGCUCUCGGGGACUAACUAUGCUUUUUGGAAAGUUAAGAUUGAAUCUUUCUUGAUACGCGAAAAUCUUUGGCAGUAUAUAGAGGCUCCUCCAGCUCAGCCAAAUGAACGUCAGAUAGCUGCUGACAGAAAGGCAAUGGCCACAAUUAAGCUUUCUCUGGAGAAUUCACAGCUGUGCCUAUUAAGAGGGCUGACUACAGCAAAGCAAUGCUGGGAUGCUUUGGCAGCAAUCUAUCAACGUCCAUCAACAGGAGUUUUGGUGAUGUUAUCCAGACGGCUCUACAGAGCGAGGCUGCAACNUGGAGAUUCGGUGAUUCCCCACAUCCANAAGAUNAAAGCAAUGUUCGCUGAACUUGCUGAAAGAGGUUUGGAUUUCCAAGACAACCAUAAAGCAUUGAUUCUACUAUCCUCCCUAGAUGAAAGCUGGGAUUCAUUGGUGACCAGUCUUGAAGUGGUGCUAAGUAGAGAAUUUAGCUUUGAUUUUGUCAUUUCAAAGUUACUGGAUGCUCAACAGAAAAGGGAUUAUAAAGAAGAACAGCCGCGUACAACCAAGAAGGGGGAUGUUUCUGCAAUUGCUUCUACAUCAAAGACUGCUCCCAAGGUAAAGUGUUACAAAUGUCAAAAGUUUGGNCAUAUUGCAAAACAUUGUAGGAGUACAUCUGUCUCNAAAAGAAGUGCUGGCCAAGCGCAGCAAANGAACAGAGUUAAUUGGAAAAGAGAUAACACUGAACAGGCUUUCCUGAUAACAACAGAAACUGAGACUAACAAGUUCAUAAUUGACUCUGGUUCCACUAGACAUAUUGUAAACAGAAANGAACUUUUACAAGACUUAAACNCUUUUGAUGAAGCNGUAAAAGUUAAAAUGGCUGAUGGUAAUAUCGUACAAGUAACACAAGGAGGUAAACUUUAUCUUGAAAGUCUNAAAACAACUUUGCAAAAUGUUUUAUAUGUACCUGAAAUGAAAUAUUGUUUACUUAGCGUUUCCAAGCUAGUAAAAGAAAAUUUUGAUGUCAGAUUCAGAGAGAAUGAAUGCCUGAUAAUGAAAAAUGAUGAGGUUUGCACUAAAGCUUAUUUGAAAGAUGACUUAUACUGUCUAGAAAUGCCUGAACAAUGUGUUUGUACUGUUAAUACUAGUUUUAAUACUUGUUUACACAGAGAUAAUUGCUUCCACGAUAUACAUAGAAAGAUGGGACAUAUCUCUUUCAAAACUUUGGCCAAAACAGUCAAAGCAUGUGACAUUAAGGNGCAACCUUGCAAAGCAUUUNUUGAGUGNACUGUUUGCAGACAGACUAACUUGAAAAGAUAUCCUUCCACUCGCAUCAGUGAAAGGAAAAGUUCUAGGCCUUUNGAGCUUGUACAUGCAGAUUUGCAAGGUCCAAAUGAAGUCUCCCUAGGGGGAUCUCGUUUUAUGUUAUUGCUGACAGAUGAUUUUUCAAGAUAUUCAUUUGUUUAUUUCUUGAAACACAAGUCAGAAGUUUUUGAAUAUUUUAAACAAUGGGUGAGAAUGAUUGAGAACAAACACAGCACAAAUGUUGCUGCAAUACAAACUGACAGAGGAGGUGAAUUCACGAGUCAAAAAUUCAAACACUGGCUUCUUAAGAGAGGAAUUCAGCACAGGAUGACUAAUCCUUAUAGCCCNUUUGAAAAUGGUGUUGCUGAGAGGAGAAUUGGCUUAGUAAAAGCUAUGAGAGAAGCUAUGAUGCUUGAUGCUAACCUAUCUCCAAAGUAUUGGGCAGAAUGUUCAAGAACAGCUAUCUUUAACUUGAAUCGGUUAUGGAGCACUUCCAUUUCUGACAUUCCUUAUAGAAA